rnacentral:lncRNA from 1 species
UAGAUCGCACAAGGAAGGUCAGUGGGACAACAUGGUGGAUUUGGAGGAGACGAGGCUCUCCUUUUGUUUGGGAUGUACUAAAGGGAAUGUAACCGAUUGCGUAAUUAGAGGAGAGGCAUACAGAUUUAAUAUGUGAAUAGUGGGCAGUUUGUUCGCUGGGUGAUGGAAGCGAGAAGCUCUCAUCCGUGUGAUUGAAUAACAAAUCGACGAUGCAAUGUUGGUCUGACG